AUGGUGUUCAUUGACUUGGAGAAGGCCUAUGAUAAGAUACUGCGGAAUGUCAUGUGGUGGGCCAUGGAGAAACACAAAGUCCCAGCAAAGUACAUUACCCUCAUCAAGGACAUGUACGAUAAUGUUGUGACAAGUGUUCGAACAAGUGAUGUCGACACUGAUGACUUCCCGAUUAAGAUAGGACUGCAUCAGGGGUCAGCUUUGAGCCCUUAUCUUUUUGCAUUAGUGAUGGAUGAGGUCACAAGGGAUAUACAAGGAGAUAUCUCAUGGUGUAUGCUCUUUGCGGAUGAUGUGGUGCUAGUUGGCGAUAGUCGGACGGGGGUAAAUAGGAAGUUAGAGUUAUGGAGACAAACCUUGGAAUCGAAAGGGUUUAGGCUUAGUAGAACUAGAACCGAGUACAUGAUGUGCGGUUUCAGUACU
rnacentral:rRNA from 1 species